UACAACCAUAUCACAUUGAAACCCUGUUUCUCAUAUGAUCACCAAAGUUAAGCAAUGUUGAGCAUGGUCAGUACCUAGAUGGGUGACAGCUUGGGAAUACCAGGUGUUGUAAG